CGGGACCGGGAGGCUGAGAGAAACGGCCCCAGAGGAGGUCCAGAGUGCGAGUAGAGGAAGAGUGAGAGGUAAGAGUCCCAGGGUAUUUGGAUGGUUGAUUUGAAUCCUUAUCUGCUUGAGGAGACAUUGCAUCAUACAAGGGUUCAGCCUCAACCUUUUGUAGAGAAAAGAGGUAGGUCCGUUUUCUGAUUAGGCAGAAUAUAGAACCCAAGAUACAUGAGGCUGCUAAAAUAAUUGUUAUUUGAUUAUCUACUAUGAUAUUUUCUUGAGCAAGUUGACUUUAGUCAAUUUCAGAUCUGGAAGAACUAGUUGAUUACUAAUUUAGGAGAAAGUCAACCUUACUGACUCAUGCCUCUUGAAAUUUGCAUACUUAAAUUCUGUGUUGAUAAAUUAGACUUGAGUUAUUAUGCUAUGCCACUAAUUUAACUUUUCAGCUGACUUUAAAAUUAAUGAGCCCAAGCCUUUUCUUCUGAAAUUUAUUUUAAAAAGUCAUGUCCAUAGAGUAAAAGGUUGUUUUCCUUGCCUAUAUUUUCUCCCUCGGGAAGCUGUGUAAUUCAUUCAGUGUUUAUAAUGGUUACUGACUGAUCAGUGAAAAUGAGGCAGAAGGGCGGACUUCAGCUCUGCAUCUCCAGUUUGCAUUAAAGGCAUCCUUUAUUUAAAAUGGUAUUUUACUAAUGAAUUAGCUUGAACAUAUCUCAGGAACAGGUCAGAAUGGAAUAGGUUAAUACAUUUCAGUAAGGAUUCCUGAACACGAUUUGUGUGUACUUGUGUGUUUCGAGAUCCUUAGGGGACCUUUGUAGUAAAAUAUUCAGGAGGUUUUCUAUCUUUUAUUUAAGGAAGAAUAUUCAAGAACUUGCUUAAAUAAAUGUUUUCUUGUCUUGAAUUUGGCCUUAUAAAUCAUAGAUAAUAUAUUUAUUUCCAGUCUGUUUGUGAGAAACCUGCCGUUUUGAUGCCAGAGUUAAGUGAAAGAGAAAAGAGAAAGGAGAAAGCUGCUUCCUUUUAUUGUAUGUCUGUUAGGACUCACUGCUGCAAUGGGGAAUGCUCUUGGGGAUGUUUUUCCAGGAUACACUUUGCAUGAGGCCUGAGUGAUAGUCCACAGAUAGCUAGGCUAAGCCAUGAUUAAAGUUCAGUACCUGCUCAUGGAACAGAAAGAUGCUAAACCUUCCUGGUAUUCUUGAAUUCAUUAGCACUGUGCCAAACAAACUGGCUUUUGUAUAUACCGGCAGGAUCAUUUCCAGACUGAAAAAAAAAAAAGAAAGAAAAAAAGAAGAAAGAAUAAAAUGGAGAAAGAAAUGGGUACAAGUUCUUUGGGAAUGAAAGUUGAGGGAGAGUGUUUUUAAUAUGUCCCUAAGCAGGCCAGCCCCUGAUGUUAUUGAUGGUUCUACACUGGCUGGGCCUGCGGUUGGAGGAAGUAAGAUAGGGCCAGAGCUAGUAGAAGUAUAAAGUUGGAAAUCACAACUAUAUACAGUGUGAGGGAAGAAGGUAGAAACUGACUCUGGGCUAAGGGCAGGACACAGAACUAUAAUAACUGUUGUUAUUAUAUUAAUUCUUGUAGAAAUUGUAGCAUUUGCAAAUGAAGAAAUCCUACCACUACAGUCUAAACUUUUCAUUUUUCAGCUGAGAAAUCAUACAUCCAGAACAUUGAGAUAACUUCCCUAAAAUUAUACAUCUAGUUGUGACAAAGCUGUGACCAGAACACAACCACUCACCUUACCAUCCCCUUUCCAGUGGAUAUUAUUAUCUCUGGACACUGUCUCUGUGACUGCAGGUUGCUCAUGGCUGUAGUGAGAAAUUGUUCAAAGUGUCCCACCAUUCAAUAAACAUUUAUUGAGUUGAACUCAAUAAAUGUAGAGAUGCCAGGCACUGCUCUGGGAGCUGAAGCUUCUAGAGUGACAUAGUGAUUGUUUUGAUUUUUCCCUGUGACUUCAACCCUUGAUGCUCCUUUCCUCUGAUCUUUUCUUUCUUUCUUUCUUUUUUUUUAAAAUUUUAAGUGUUUUGUUAAAGAUGGACUCUUGCUGUGUAGCCCAGGCUGGAGUGCAGUGGCUAUUCACAGACGUGAUCAUGGGACACUGUAGCCUCAAUCUUUUGGUCUCCUGUGAUCAAUCUUUUGGUCUCCGCCUCUUGAGUAGCUGGGAGUACAGGCCGACACUUUUUUUAAAUCAGCAGCUCUCUGAGACUAAUUUUCACAGUUUACAUUAGCUUGCUGUUAGUUCUUGCUGGAGUGAUGGUAAUGGGUGAGGGUAUCACUGGCAGUUGCAGAAGAGAGGGUGUCUGAGGUACACCGAAGUGAUUGCUUACACUACAUUAAAAGUUAAAAAAUGUUCACAAAUGUUUGCUUUCUUUAGUCUUUUAGAAAAUCAAAUGGGGCUCUAAUGAAGACAUUUUCAAGAGGAAGGAGCAACAAUAAAUCUUGGUUGUAUUUAACUGCAAAAGCUGCCUCCUGAAUAAAAAUUUGCAUAUAGAUUUCUCAUGAAAUGUCAAAAAGGCAAAAAGUUUGGAAGUGAGCUUGGAACAGAGUAUCUUUAUAUCAUGAAAAAUAGAUGAUUAUUUUCCCCCACACAUUAUGCUAUUCAUUUUUCUAAGACUCUCAUGAUAUCCCAAAUGCAUAUUUUAUAAUCUUAACAUUUUGUAAAAAACCAGAGGUAAGCAUUCUUUAUUUCCCUCUGCUCCAGAAGAAAGAUAUACCUCUCCUACUUCAACUUGAUAAGGAAUAUAAAUACUAUGUUGACAAGGUUAUGGCAGAACUUUAUUUUAUAUAGAAAUAAGCCACUUCAGGGCCGGGCGUGGUGGCUCAUGCCUG